UAGAAAUCAUGUUGGAAGUGAAGCUAGCUCUUGCAGCUCAUUUCGGAGAGGGAGACUUGAACUGGGUAAAGCUUUUCAAUGGACUUCGAUCAAUCGAAAUACCGAUUAAGAUUCCCAAAUUUAUUUCCUUGUUGUUGUUGUCUCAAUUCCCCAUCACAGCAGUAGAUUGAUUAGCCGGUGUGCAGGGUUGGAAAGCUGAUGCAAUUCCUCUUCUGGCUUUGGUUACUUCACUACCGCCAAACUCGACCGCCAAUUUUGGGUGACGCUUCUUAGUUGGCAUUGCCUGUCAGCUUUGGGUUUUGUAUGGCUUGUUUUGAAGGUGGUGAUUCAGCAAAGGCUUUGACAGCCGUGCCUCAUGUAGAUUGUGGCUUUGAAACUCGGCCGUUCAUGAACGACCAUUUGUUCCAAUGCUUAGAAAUUGCAGCAUAUAAGAUUGCAUUAAGACUCUGGCCAUUCAUGAAGGACCGUAUUUGCCUUAAUGCCUCAGACAAAGAAACUUGCAGGAGGUUGUUCAUGAACAACCUAUUCCAAUUCAUCAGGGAGAGCUUUGAGCAUUGAAAUGAGGUCGUUCGUGAACAACCGUUUUGCUUCAAUGCGUUAAAGUAUUUGCGAGCAGCAACGAUGUCAUUUCGACGAAGAACUCUAAUAACAGUGGUCGUUCAUGAACGGCCUAUUAGAGCUUUGGAGGUCACAAGACAUAGAGGAUUAAUUGGAGAGGCUUCAUAGGGAAGGCAGAUGUAUACCUGCAGAUUGCUUUUCUUUUCUGUGCGUCUCCUCCUCCUCUGCUGCGUAUCUUUGUAUUUCUCUCUCCUCUGUAGUCUUUUUUGCUCAGUGUUUUCUGCCCUCCGUCUCCCUUCUCUUUGGUGUUGCUGCCUAUGUAUACUAGUCAUUGGAUAGGUGCAACCGGAUAGUGAUAACUUCUUUGAAUAACAAGUCUAUCCUUAUCUUCAUGUAUAUUUGAACUGAUCAACAAUUUGACCGAGACUUGAAUCAAGGAAACAAAGCUAACAGAACAUUAUCUCCUCUAACUUGACGUUAAAGAUAAUGGUCUCCUUACUUUGCUCUUUGGACUUGGUCAAAGAUGUAACAACUUAUCUCAAGUGUGAAAUUGAAUAUGAAUGUAUUUCUGUUUCUUUUUUU